GAACUUCCUUAGGCAACACAUAUACUAAAAUUGGAACUACAGAAAAAUCAGCAUGGUCCCUGUACAAGGAGGACAUGCAAAUUCAUGAGGUGUUCUAUAUCUUU
ensembl:snRNA LOC120098051 U6 spliceosomal RNA